rfam:Candidatus Zambryskibacteria bacterium RIFCSPLOWO2_02_FTLL_44_12b rifcsplowo2_02_scaffold_30423, whole genome shotgun sequence.
GGGGAUGAUCGGCAUAGACAGUGGGUACGCCUUGUAUGUGCGCGCCGGCCUCCUGCAAUAGGCCGUUACUAUAAUUGCAGAACAGAUAAGUGCCAACUCAUCUGAAAACGGCGGCAGUGUGGCAUCGCCAUACUUCACGCCCGCAUUCGCGUUAGCGUAAUGCCGCCCGCGUUUUACAGUAUCUUUGCUUAAAACGCAGGGUGUCAUAUCUCAAAGAUCGGUACCGUAGAAUGAUUGACUACGAUACCUAAACAAACAAUCUAGGAUGCUGUGCGAUUUCGUCUGCUCUUGACGCGCGGCACCGAAUACUACCGGCAAGUAGUUAAAGCAGUCUAGGCUCCGUAGAAGCAUGCAUGCGCCUCUCAUUGCACGCGGGUUCGAUUCCCGCCAUCUCCACUA